GCGCGGGCCCUCUCCCUGCCGCCGGGCGGAACCGGGCGCUGCUGCUGUCCCCGCCGGGUUCGCGCCCGCAGCCUUCGAUCGGGAGAACGGCGAUGCUGCGCCGGGUCACGGAAUCUCCUGCCCCGGGGCCGUGGAAACUGCAACUCUCGUCGGAGCAGCGCGGGCCCAGACUGGCAGCCAGAUGUGGACAGCCCGCUGCGUCCCCCACCCCGCCCAAGGCAAAGAGCUCGGCGUCCUGAGGGUCUUGUAAAAGCGGGGCAGAAAAAGCCUUUUGGGUGCCCUGAAAGUACACACGAAACUCUCAGUCUAGGAAAGGAGAUCGAAUGUGAACAUGAACUGUUUACAAAUGACACAAAGAGAAACUGAGAGAAAUGCAAAGAAAAAUUCAGGAAUUACUAUCCUUCUGCAGGUGACCCCAAAUGUAACUCUGAGUAACAGCGGCCUGCACCCUAGCCUGUCUUCGGCAUUGUUUGUGCUGAAAGUGGAAAACGAUGUUUGGUAAUGGUCUCACAUCUGCAUACGUUCUCUUCAUCCGUGACCUUCCAAGGAAGAAAGAGAAAGAUCAACCCUGCAGUCAGGGAAGCACCAGCUGUGAGCAAGAGGAAGCUAGAACAGCAGAUUCUGGCCAAGCGGGUGCUCCUAGAAACUAACUGCGGGUACUCAGGACAAAUCGCCUAUGAGAACAGCCCCCGGCCACCUGGGAGGCUGGUGCAGAGACCGCCGGCAGAGGUGGGUUCGAGUCACACCAGAGAGGAAUGGGCGGCAAUGGGUCGGACAUGGACCAUUCAAAGGGAAAUGAUAACAGCAGAACCCCAAGAGCACAAAUCCCCACUUCAUCUUGGCCUGUAUCUUAAACCCUCUUUCUUUCCCACAAACUUCAUUUUUAAAAUUCUUCCAUUUGGAAGUCAUUUACUGAGCGCCUAGCUCUAAGGCACUACAUGGGGCACUGGGGAGAAUACGGAUAUAAACAGUGGUUCCCUCUACCCAAACUGUUCACGACACAGCAGGGUGGACACAUCCACAACUAACAGGCUAAAGUGUGCUCUUGGAUGAUAAGGGCUGGGUGAAAAAGAAAAGCGACAGUACCAAAGAGCAAGGCACCUGGCAUUCUGCGGGGACGCUGUAAAGCGGGUUCACCGAGCACUGGCGACCAGUCCUUGGGGAGGACUCUGACCGCGUAAAGAACAGCAAAGACCACCACUAUGGCACGCACCGGAAGUAGGAGUCCGAAUACCCGCCCACUGCAUCCCGGAUGCAGGAGUAAGACUGGACACUCACAGUCACUUUUCACCAGAGUUAAGCAGCAAGGAAAACAGAAGCCCAGGAUUCGUGAUGAGCUGCUCCUCCAAGCUCAGGAAAGAUCCUGGGGUGGGCGGAGUCUUGUCUGCGCAUGCUCCAUCCGGCAGAGCAGCCGAAGCCCCCCUGAAUCGCUCUGCUCUUGAGUCUUCUACCCUGCGAGCCGCCUGAAAUUGGUGAGCUAAAGGGCGCACGAUAUGCUCUUCUGCGGGGACAGGGACAGAAGCCAGGAUGUUCCGGAUAGUUCUUCCUUAUUUCAAGAGGUUGCGUUCCCAGCACUUUCUGCAGUUAUUCUGAGAACCACAGAUGAGAAAGGGGAGAAGAGCUGGGUCCAUGCAGCCCUCCUCCCUGGGGCCCAUCUUCUCGGCUGGUGGUCAAGAUGCACUUGUUCACAGACAGGAGGGUGCCUUGGGCUUGAAAUUGCAGGCUGAGUGUCCUUUUCUUUAAGCAGCAGGUUUAUAAUGGCCCAAAGAGAGCCAGAGCCAGAGGAGGAAAGAGAAGGGGACAAAGCCAAGGGUCAGCUCUCCUUGUCUCACCAUCUUCUGGCUCCGGGACUCUGCCUGCCAGGCAGUUCCAUGCAUCCAUGGGGUCACUGGCUAGGAUGAGUAACAAGUCUUUGCUAUUUAAACAUGGGGUAUGGCCCUUCAUCACACUCUUGAUCCAGAGCCCAUGCACGUUAGUGGUGACUCUAUUGAAUGCUUCUCAAAGUGCGUCCUGAGGAGUACCCGCUGCACCAUUCACGUGGGUUGUUUGUUUCAAAUGCAAAUUCCCAGGCCUCCUGCCACCUCCCUAAAUCGGACUCUUCAGGGAAGGGACCCAGGGGUUCGCCUUCUAGCAAGUUCCCCCGAUGGUUCUGAUCUACACCAGUUUCGGGAACACUUGAGCUGGGGAGGAGGGGAGAGGGCCUGGCCCUAGUGAGCAGGAGGCUUUAGGGGAGAAGAGAGGAAGUCGGCCAGGUGGGGGGAAGACCCUGGCAGUGGCCUCCAAGUGCUUCCUCAAGACCGCGUUAGCCCUCUUCACCCCCUGGCUCUGGCCGCGUCCUGGGAGUCGGCUGCAGAGAGACGCAUUCCGCCCACACAGAGCAAGAGCAUCCUUGCACCAGGGUUUUUGUGGGUGGCCCUGCAGAAGGAAGUGUCCCGUCAACACGAAAUAGAGACCAGAAGGAACAACAGGAGACUCAAUGUCAAUGUGGGACUCGGGCUGAAGUCACUGCAAGAGAUCGGGCAGGUUCCCAGCCCAGGAAGCCCCACACGCAGCAGUUGGAGCCAUGUGUCAGAGUGGUGCCUGGCCAGUGACGUCUAAGUCCCCGAGAUUCCCCGUGAAUAUCUCCUGAAUCAUACGGCCCAGCUGCGCAAAGGCGGUAGACGAAGGAGAACCCACCUGUCAAGACCACAGCCUGGGACUCACGCCUGUUCUUAAGGAAACUUCCAGCGACAGCUGUGCUGUACUAAAAACUCACCACUAGGGGGAAGCAGACUCCAAGCAUCCAUGUGAGAAAAGAGCAGACUAGAAGGUGGCCCAGGAAGCCAACAAGGGGCGGGAGGGGCCUGACCUCAGGUGCACCCUCCACAUCCACGCUAUCCCACACACACGUGCACACACACGCACACACGUGCACAUGCAACGCAAUACAUUCUUGCUCGAAUCACCGGGUCCUUUGUUCAUUUAGUUCCCUGGUCCUGUGCAGGACAGUGCAUCUUCCACAGGGCAAAAGCCACUGGUUCUCAAACUUGGCUACAUAUUCAAAUCACCCGCGGGAAUCAGCACUUUAAAACCCCACAGGAGAUCCCCUCUUGGAGCUGAGUUUGAGAACCCCUGUGUUAAGGGGAAGAUCCCCUUUCUUCCCAAAUGGAGGCUGGUUUUCAUGGCCUCCCGCACUAGUCGCUCCUCCACCCAGGCAUGCCGUCUCUAGUGGAUGCCAGAGCUCUUCCUCCCUCAGUGUGCCCAGAUCACCCAUGCAAGUUGUUAACUGCACAGAGCACACACAGCGAGGCUUCCCUCGUCGCACCCUGCGCUUCUGCCCUUGUGUCUCUGCUGCCACUCUCUAGCUGUUCUGAUGUCCUCUUCUGCUUUUGCAUGAGCCCUGCUUCUAGCUGCUGUACACUUGAUGCCUUAACGUCGACCCUGCGUGCAUAUGGCAGACGCACCUCGCUCCCGGCAACCCGACAGUACGCCUGAGUUGCCUUUGCCCUCCUGUUUGGGAGGCGUCCUCCUGAGGCAGGAAGUAGAGAGGAAGAGUUCCUGGGCAGAAGAGUCUCCAAAAGGAGAUGAGAGGAAGCUGGCUCUCCAGAAGCUACAGGGUGCCAGGUCCUGAUGACUAGACCACAGCUGUGAAAGGCAAGAGGGUGCGUGUGCCACAGGGCCCUGCAGGGGGCAAGAGAAGCCCUCUAGAAACCAAGGAGCACCCAUCUUCUUAAAUGUGCAUCACCGAGUGUCCCAAACAACCAAAUGGCCCUGACUCAAUUAUAAUUAAUUAUCUCACACUGUAGUUUUGAUAUCCCCCACCAUGGGCUUUGGGCGCCAUGACAAUUCCUCACAGGUCCAUUUGGAGCAAAACUCCCCCUCCAGCAGAGAGGAGGAGACCGGUCCCUGGUUGGAGUCAAUUGUCUCGCCAGCUCAAAGAGCUCAUUCUUCCCUGUAAAAACCACGUAUAGGCUCUGGCACCUGGCUGGCACCCUCCAGGCUGUGAAGUCCCACCCCGAGGAGUGUAUCCUGACUAAUCUCUGCUUUCACUUCCACUACUCUGUGUCCCGCUGAGUUCUUUGUUUGGAUACCAGGAACUAGGAUAGUCACAGCCCCAACAACACUCCAUUUUAAAAACCCAAACCCACAAAUCAGAUUCCACACCUAACCACCGUCACAUAUCCACUUCUCACACUCCUCCUAUUCCUAAUUACUCAAAGCACUGGUCAAGCAGCCCUGCUGGAGUGAUGUACACUAGCCAACACUAACAUUGCUUAUCUCACUCUCCCUUUCCAGGGAAAGCACAGUAAAAUCUCUUGCAUGGUUUAUUUCCUCUCUGUCUCUUGACAGGCUCUUCUUAGCCUCCCUAUGUGGCCCCUGUGGCAGGACAGGACCCUUCUCUUGGGAUCUGUGAGCAUCAAACUGGCCCUUCAAUGGCAGUCAUCUCCUGGCCCAUGAGCCUCACCACAGUUGAAUAACAAUGAAACCUAUUGUGAAGGUUAAGCUUGACUGUGUCAACUUAAUUGGCUUGGGUGCCACUCGGAGAGUUGGUGGAGCACAUUUCUGGGUGUGCCUGGGUGAGCCAUAGAAACAUGAUCUUGGCUACUGUCUGGACCCUCGCUCCUUCCUCUCUGGUACUGUUCUCCUGCUCUGUUUCCCAGGUACCAUGAACACUCACUGCACCCUUCUGCCAUGAUGUUUCUGCCUUUCAUCCAACUGCUCAUGGACUGACUCCCCUUAACCCAUGAGCCAAAUUAAACCUCCCCUCUGAGGUAUGCAUGUCAGGAUUGUGUCUCAGCAAAGAGAAAGCUGACUAAUACACCUACUAAGUCAGCUUUCUUGCUGGAGUGGGGCAGUGGUUGAUUCCCCCUGUAUCCUGAGUCUCAUGCCGUUUCUAUCUGGUCCCCACUACACUGCCCAGUGUGAACACAUGCAGACAGGAGCUCAGUUAGUGACCUGAAAGAAUAAAAGAAUGUAGUCAGGAAGCUCCGAGUUUGAGACCUGGCUCUGCCACCUACCAGGUGUGAGAACUCGACCACGUGGCACAUCCCGAGACUCAGUUAUCUCUCUUGUUUAAUCUAGCCUGUAAUUUCACAGAGACCAAGUGGGGCAACAUGCAUUAAAGUCCUUUGUGGCUGACUUCGUAGCACCUUCCUUUCUCUCUCGCCUACUUGUCAACACUGCCUGAGAUUCUACCCUUGCCCUUUCCGUGCUCCCUGGAGUUCCUAUCAAUUCUUGAGUUUUCCAAUCUCUACCUUCAGCUUUUACAGUCUGAGUGUUUGUGUCAUCCCCCAAACUCAUAUGAUGAGAUUCUCACAUCCAAGAUGAUGGCGCUGGGAGGUGGCCCUUGGGAGUGAUUAGAUCUUGAGGGUGGAGACCCCAUGAAAGGGAUUAGUGCCCUAAUAAAGAAAGCCCCAGAGAACUGCCUCCUCCCUUCUCCCACAUCGUGACCCAACAAGGAGGUACUGUCUGUGAAUCAGGAAACAGGUUCUUGCCAAACACUGAAUUGGCCAGCAACUUGAUCUUAGUCUUCUCAGCCUCCAAAACAGCGGUAAAUCUCAUGGUUUAUGUGUUAACAGUUUAAGGCAUUUUGUCAGCCUGAAGAGACUAAGACAUGAGCUCACACUCCUCUCUUGAGCUCCAGGUAUGUCCAAUCAGAUGCCCACAGGACAUUUCCAUCUCCUUGACCCACUUGUGGGACAUAUUUCUUGCACUUCUCAAACCAGCUCCUUCUCUUCUCUAUUCAAUCGCUGUUCACUCCCAGAAGGGAAGUGGUAAUGAGGAGGGAAGAGGGGAUCCAGGGGACCCAGAUGAUGGAGUAUAAUAAGUCGGCAGAGACCACAAGGCACUUUGGGGCUAUAGGUCAUAAGUCCCGUUGCAGCAAAGCCAUAGCAUUCCAGGAGGGGGCAGGGAGAGAGAGGUGCCCAGGGGGCUCUGACCUGUGCAGUGGGGCUUGGCU